rnacentral:lncRNA from 1 species
ACAUCUCUUGGAGCUCUAGCUCACUUCUCUAGUAUUCUUCUUAUCUGAUUAAUCUAGUUCUUGUCAGUUCUUCUUGAACUUCUUAUUAGAUCUCGAGUCUGUAUUUCUGUAUCCAUGAUAGUCGGCCAAUAUCCAAGCACAUUUUUGAAGUUAUUGUCUAUAUGGUAAUUUCGAUCUUUUUCAAAUUUUUUGUGCUUAUUUUCAACAUAAUUUUUAAGAAGUGUGUAAAUUUUGAGUUAAGAUCAACAAUUCAUUCAUUAGUUAUUGAUGUUUAAAUGUAUUAUAGGAAUUAUUAGGAUUUGAUUUAGGAUUUAGGAUUUGGUUAGGAUUUGAUUUAGGAUUAUGAUUUGAUUACAGUUUGAUUUUGGAUUAGGAUUUGAUUUAGGAUUAGAGUUUUGAUUUAGAAUUUAGGAUUUGGUUAAGAUUUGAUUUAGGAUUGUUAGCUCUUAAUUAUACUCUAAAAUUUAAAUUUUUGUUAUUUUCCUAUUUUAUAAUAAUUAAAAAUAUUAGAUUAGGAUUUAUAUAAGUAAAAUUCAGUUUUAUAGAAUUUUUAGGAUUACAACCCCUCAUGGUAUAAAUCAUAGCCUAAUUCCUUGAAUUAGGUUAAUUAGGACUAAAGUAACAAGAGUUAGAAAAUUAGAAUAGCAACUUAGUUAGUUUAAUAAUUUAGAGGUUGUUAGUCAUUACUAUAAAGGUUGACUAAAAGCCAAUGAGUACAUCUAUAAUCAUUCACAUGAUUUAGGGGUUGGAAUUAUAAUUCUCUAAAAGAUUUAGGGAAGUUAGCAAUGGUAAUUUUGGAUUUUUCUUCCAAAUUUGGUAAAUUUAAGGGGCAUGGUGGUUCUUCUACUUAAUAGGAGUCUCUUUAAUGCAAUGGUGGCACCAAAUUUACCUCGUGGAGUGAAGAAAACAAGAUCAGCAAUCUCUCC